CGUAAUUGGAUAGAUGAUAGAAAAGAGGUCAACUUUCUUCUUCCGCUGAUUUUGAAAUAUUGCGUUUAAUUCAUUUUUCAAAUCAAUUAGAUAAUAUCAAUGAAUUUUUUGGUCAGCAGCAACUCUAGUUUUGGAAAAUUGUUUAUAUUUUCAGCUGGAUUGUUAUCUUAUGGAAUUAUUUACCAGUCAGUUUCCAAAUACAAGACUUUGCAAACAAUCGGUUAUCAGUUCAACAAAAACAGACCGUUGGCAUCUGACUUUAGAAGCCCCGAACAACAAAAGACUUCUGUUAUAUCUGCGGAGCCAAAAGACUUCAAUAAAAUAUACAUAAACUACCCCUACUCGAUUGGUGAAAAAUCGACGACGGAGCUCGCCCACUUAGUUCUGUCAAACUGCAGGGUUACUCAGUUUUUUGAAAGACAGGAUUUCAACGCUUCCAAUGACACAGUCGACAAUCACGAGUUGUUUAAACGAACCGAAAAGCUGGCUGGCGAUAUCCGACACCCAAAAAGACGAUACCGAUUUGAUCCAAGAGACAAAAAGGCGUACAGUUUCUGCUUGAACACCAAAUCCGGCAGUACUUUUCUGACGAGAUCUUUAUUGAAACGGGGAUCUAAGGCAACUGUGAAGGAGGCAACUGGACACAUCAAUGCGUUCAUCGUCAUCCGAGAACCCAUGCACAGAAUGCUUUCAGGCAAGAUCAACAGAGGUCAAAUUUUUAGAUAAUUAACUUCAGCUGAUUGGUUACUUUAACUAUUCCGAAAAAAAACGAACUAAGUCCAUUAAAGUCUAACAAAAUUGAAUAAAGUGAGUUUAAGUCCGGGGUGGCUCACUCAUAGAGUAAUUUCAGAUGAGGUACACCGUCUGUUUGUCACGCUCUUCAGAUGAGGUACACCAUCUUAUUUUCGGCCGGAUAGAUUCGUGCAACUUCUUAGUCUAAUACCAAUGUUAAUCUUACUCGUAUAUCUCCUAGUCUCAAUAGACCUAGUGUAUACUGGUAUUUGCGAGGCUUGAUAUCAAGAACUAUCCUGAGGAAGAGCAACUGUUUGCUAAGUUAAAUUUAUUCUCUUCUGGCUGAAACUGUAAAUAGUUUCCGCCUUACAAAUUAUUGUAAGUUUUACUUAUGGAUCAUGAUUGGUUACUUCUAAGUAUUUUACAGAGAUAGUUUAUCAAGAAUAUAAUAGGAUAAAAUAAAUACUUGUUUUGAACUUGUUCCAAAAAGUCAAAUCAAGCGUCGAGCACCUCAGCGGGGCGCCUCUGAAAAAUUCAAAAUUGUAGAUCGAAACUGAAAAGUUGAGUAGGUUUUCUAUGAAUAUUUGUAAGCAACAAUCAGUAGUUAAAUGGGGGAGGUAAGUAAUUACGGGCUGCUCAAUAUUGCGAUCCCCUAUAGCAGCCUUAAAUACUGCGAAGGCAUAUUUGGCGCCAAUUCCGCAUUUUGAGGAUUUUUAUCCACCAUCAAAACUCUGAGAACAUGCGUUUUGUGACAUGUAAACGUUUUUGUUUGCAAUUUUUUGAGGAAAAAGGCAGCUUUUUUGAUGCACGCUCCCGUUUCCUGUGCCACUCACUUUUAGAAAGAAAUCAAAAAGAGCUGCCAAAACCAAUAGUAGGAAAAAAUGGGCCAACCCAAAUUGAGAAGUCAAAAUCUAUUUAACACGCUAUUGGUGUUUAUAGUGAAACGCAAGCGCUCGAGACUUCGAUGUUUUUCAGUAGAAGUCAAACUGGUUUCAAAUUUUUGUCGAAAAGUCACCUUUUUCGGAAAAAUGGUUUAUCUUUGAAACAUUUUAAAACCCCAUUACACAGAGCAUCUCAAUUUACUCCUGCGAGCAAUGAUAUUUUUCAGCGUUCCUAAACAAAUUGCGAGAAUGCCAACCCAAGAUAUGCUCAGCUUGGAGAGGCUUUGCAAAAAACAUUGCCCUGUACGUCAAAAACAGCCACAAGACUGCGUCUAAACUGUACGAGAUACCAAUGCAAGGAGUGAAAACCAUAGAUGUGGGAUUUCAAGAUUUCGUUGAUUAUAUCAUUCACAUGUUUUUGAGAAACAAUGGGAAAAUCCGGGACGCUUCUCCAGAUAAGCCUGUUCCUGACUGGGUGUGGUGGCAUUGGGAGUCAGUGGUUGCCGAGAGCUGUCAAGUCUGUUCUUCAAACUGGCGAGAUGUGGUCUUGUUUGAGAACCUCCAACAGCACUUAGAACAGGUACUUCCCAAGUACCCAAUCGUCUUCAAGAACGAAACGACCUUGCCUGAAAUUAAAUCAAGCGAUACGAACGCCAAAGUUAUCCAGUAUUUCAGCCAGUUGACAGAUUCUCAGAUUUGGUUUCUGGGAAAUGUGAUGUACACUUUAGAUUAUGCAAUACUUCCGUACGACUGGAACGGCUUCUUGAUGUCAAUUGGAAAAACUCAUCUAGUCAAUAAAUAACUAAUCGAAAUUCAAAAUUAUUAUUUCCAGCGUGGUGAGAGUUUAAAGGAUUCUGCUAAAAUUGAUCAAAUUGUGGGAGUUUUCCAAAAAGACAGAUUAUGCGGAUAUUCAACAUCCUCAAUUUUAGAAGGU